AGUCCAUCCUCUCCGUCUUUUCCCUGCUCCACUUUUCAGAAAAUGUGUGCUCAAACAGGCCGUUUGGAGAUUUUCCCUUCAUGACAUCACAAAGGGCAGUAACCCCUCCCCCAGGUGGGUGACACUCCCACAGCUAGGUGUUUGUUCUGCCCUCUGAGUCUGCCUUCUCACCGUAAACAAUAGGACAUGGAGCAAGAAAGACCGAGGCACCUUCUGCCCUUCCAGAGAGGGGGCGUGGUCAGACACAGCUCAUUUACAUUUAAAGGUACAGACACAGAAACAGCCUGUUCUGAGCAGGGCUGAAAUAGAGGGGCAUGAUCAAAUCACAGGAUCAGAGUGGAUUUAGAACAAGAAACUUCACAAACAUGUUUUGAGGAGCUCUGAGACUUAUUUACACUGGUUGAAGAGGAGGAGAAUAUGUCACCUUUAACGCUUUAAUUGUUUUGUCUAUGCAAAUGUAUCAUAUGACUUUCCUGCCAAUAAACAUGAAGCCUCA